GGGCGUGUGGCGGAACUGGCAUACGCGUACGCUUCAGGAGCGUAUGGGAGUAAUCUCUUGAGGGUUCAAAUCCCUCCACGCCCA
rnacentral:tRNA from 1 species